rnacentral:rRNA from 1 species
CAACUUUCAACAACGGAUCUCUUGGCUCUCGCAUCGAUGAAGAACGCAGCGAAAUGCGAUAAGUAAUAUGAAUUGCAGAAUAGUGAAUCAUCGAAUCUUUGAACGCACCUUGCGCCCCCUGGGGCAUGCCGGUUUGAGCGCCUUAU